AGUUGGAGGGAAGAAAGGAUUUAGGGCCUAGCAGGUGGGUUUGGAGGAGAGAAUGGGAGAGGCUGAAGGUAGAGAAGUGAUAGAAUUUGGCUCACCUGGAAGGGCAACGGGCUAGAAGGGCUUCUGAAACGCUUGCUGAUUGCAAGUUCAGGGUAGCAGGCAACCUCUGUGAAUGUCAGGACAAAGUGGAAAAGACAUUCUGAGACUCACUCAAGAAGAGUUUCAUUUCUUCUGUGGUGGUGCUGCCACAUGUGGUAACUGCCUUGUGGAGGGGGGAUGAAAACAAGCCAGGAUUGAGUGUUGAUAGGGUUUUACCAGCUGCAUGGAUGGAAAGAUUGAAUCCACCGGCAGUUUUCCUGCCUUUGAACUGUCAGAGAAUGCUUUUGGGAGGUGCUGUGGCGGUAGGCUGGAAGGACACCUAUCCCACCAUAGAGGAAGGAGUGGAGGCCUCUGGGAGGUGGUGAUGAGGGAGCUCCAUCUUGAAGGAAUAGAAGAAUCUAAACAGUUGUAUAUCUUAGUUGCCGGUCCUUCUAGUUGUGGGAUGUGGGACGCUGCCUCAACGUGGCCUGACGAGCGGUGCCAUGUCCGCGCCCAGGAUCCGAACCCUGGGCCGCCGCAGCGGAGAGCGCGAAAUUAACCACUCGGCCACGGAGCCGGCCCCCUUACAUUUUAAUAUUUAUAAAUAUUUUUAACUAUCUAAGAAUUCACAAUGUAUGAUGUUAUUUAUUUUAUAAUUGCUUGACUAUGUUAAAAGUAUUGAAACAGCCUUUCAAAGUAUUAAAGAACGGUUGAGGUGAAAAGUGGAAAAUACUCAUAAAUCUGCCAACUAUUUUACAUUGUUUCAGUCAAAAUGUAUUCUUUUUACAACUUUGACAUAUAUUAUGUAUUUUUUGAUUAUGCAUCCUUUUUAAAAUGAUCAUAUUAAUCAUUAAAAUAUUCUGUUAAGUUUGCUUAACCUGAGGUAUUUAAUUAUUCUUUGUAGAAUAUCUUUUAUUCAUUCGUUAAAUCAUUUAUGUAAAAAUAUUGGUUGUCUAUUAGGUGCCGUGCUUAUCAGGCAGCAGCUCUGUAAGUAAGGUAAACAUAGUUCUUGCCUGCUUUGAGUUUAAAAAUAAUUGUAAUACACAGUGAAAAGUGUCAUGACAGGGAAGUGCAGUGUUUUGUGGUUUUCACAGAAGAGGGACAGAGUCUAAAUGGUGUGGGCAUGGGAGAAGAGAGUGUUAUAAAACAU
rnacentral:lncRNA from 1 species